CAGGCGGUUAUAUCAUGUCUGGUGUUUAAGCCUUGUGCUCAACGCUAGGGUCGCGCUGGAAACUGGGUGACGUGAGUACAGAAGAGGAAAGUGGAAUUCCACGUGUAGCGGUGAAAUGCGUAGAGAUGUGCAAGAGCACCAGUGGCAGAACGCGACUUUCUGGGCUGUAACUGACGCUUGAGGACGCGAACGCGUGUGGAGCACACGGGAUUACAUACCCUGGUAGUCCACGACGUAAACUAUGAGUGCUAGGUGUUAUGGGCGUUUCGAUAUCCUUGGUGCCGACGAUCAACACAGUAAGCACUCCGCCGACGGUAGUACGUCGUCUAGACUGACACUCACACGAAUUGACGAGGACCCGCACAAGCUAUGUAGUAUGUGGCUUGAUACCAAGCUACGGCGCAUAACUUACCGCGGUACUGACAUACGACUAUCUGAUGCAAGAUGACAUCAGGUGACGGUCGGGGAAAAGCAGGUCAAACGUGUGCAUGCAUG
rnacentral:rRNA from 1 species